rnacentral:rRNA from 1 species
CACCUCUAGCAUUACCAGUAUUAGAGGCACUGCCUGCCCAGUGACAUUAGUUUAACGGCCGCGGUAUCCUGACCGUGCAAAGGUAGCAUAAUCAUUUGUUCCUUAAUUAGGGACUUGUAUGAAUGGCCCCACGAGGGUUUAACUGUCUCUUACUUUUAAUCAGUGAAAUUGACCUUCCCGUGAAGAGGCGGGAAUACAAAAAUAAGACGAGAAGACCCUAUGGAGCUUAAAUUAAAGUGUCCAACAAAAUUUAAUCUUAAUCCAAUAGGAAUAAUAACAUUUUAACUGGACAACAAAUUUUGGUUGGGGUGACCUCGGAGUAUAACAAAACCUCCGAGCGAUUAUAACCAAGACUUACCCGUCAAGGUGACAUAAUUUAUUGAUCCAAUCAUAUUGAUCAACGAAACAAGUUACCCUAGGGAUAACAGCGCAAUCCUAUUUAAGAGUCCAUAUCGACAAUAGGGUUUACGACCUCGAUGUUGGAUCAGGACCCCCAAAUGGUGCAGCAGCUAUUAAAGGUUCGUUUGUUCAACG